CCUACGGGAGGCAGCAGUGAGGAAUAUUGGUCAAUGGCCGGAAGGCUGAACCAGCCAUGCCGCGUGAAGGUCGGUGCCCUAUGGGCGUUAAACUUCUUUUGUGCGGGAGCAAUAAUGGUCACGUGUGGCCAGACGAGAGUACCGUACGAAUAAGCAUCGGCUAACUCCGUGCCAGCAGCCGCGGUAAUACGGGGGAUGCAAGCGUUAUCCGGAUUUAUUGGGUUUAAAGGGUGCGUAGGCUGUGAGGUAAGUCAGCGGUGAAAUGCCCCCGCUCAACGGGGUGAAGUGCCAUUGAUACUGCCUGGCUGGAAUGCGGAUGCCGUGGGAGGAAUGUGUGGUGUAGCGGUGAAAUGCAUAGAUAUCACACAGAACACCGAUUGCGAAGGCAUCUCACGAAUCCGCGAUUGACGCUGAUGCACGAAAGCGUGGGUAUCAAACAGGAUUAGAUACCCUUGUAGUC
rnacentral:rRNA from 1 species